rnacentral:rRNA from 1 species
UACGUAGGGUGCAAGCGUUAAUCGGAAUUACUGGGCGUAAAGCGUGCGCAGGCGGUUAUGUAAGACAGAUGGGAAAUCCCCGGGCUCAACCUGGGAACUGCAUUUGUGACUGCAUAGCUAGAGUACGGUAGAGGGGGAUGGAAUUCCGCGUGUAGCAGUGAAAUGCGUAGAUAUGCGGAGGAACACCGAUGGCGAAGGCAAUCCCCUGGACCUGUACUGACGCUCAUGCACGAAAGCGUGGGGAGCAAACAGG